rnacentral:rRNA from 1 species
GACGAACGCUGGCGGCGUGCUUAACACAUGCAAGUCGAACGGUGAACUCCGCUUGCGGGGGGAUCAGUGGCGAACGGGUGAGUAACACGUGGGCAACCUGCCCUCAGCUCUGGGAUAACUCCAAGAAAUUGGGGCUAAUACCGGAUAUGACCGCUGACCGCAUGGUCUGGUGGUGGAAAGAUUUAUCGGCUGGGGAUGGGCCCGCGGCCUAUCAGCUUGUUGGUGGGGUAGUGGCCUACCAAGGCGACGACGGGUAGCCGGCCUGAGAGGGUGACCGGCCACACUGGGACUGAGACACGGCCCAGACUCCUACGGGAGGCAGCAGUGGGGAAUAUUGCGCAAUGGGCGAAAGCCUGACGCAGCGACGCCGCGUGGGGGAUGACGGCCUUCGGGUUGUAAACCUCUUUCGGCAGGGACGAAGCGAAAGUGACGGUACCUGCAGAAGAAGCACCGGCCAACUACGUG